UACGCUCUACAACCCUUUGUGAACAUACCUACAACUGUUGCUUCGGCGGGUAGGGUCUCCGUGACCCUCCCGGCCUCCCGCCCCCGGGCGGGUCGGCGCCCGCCGGAGGAUAACCAAACUCUGAUUUAACGACGUUUCUUCUGAGUGGUACAAGCAAAUAAUCAAAACUUUUAACAACGGAUCUCUUGGUUCUGGCAUCGAUGAAGAACGCAGCGAAAUGCGAUAAGUAAUGUGAAUUGCAGAAUUCAGUGAAUCAUCGAAUCUUUGAACGCACAUUGCGCCCGCCAGCAUUCUGGCGGGCAUGCCUGUUCGAGCGUCAUUUCAACCCUCAAGCUCUGCUUGGUGUUGGGGCCCUACAGCUGAUGUAGGCCCUCAAAGGUAGUGGCGGACCCUCCCGGAGCCUCCUUUGCGUAGUAACUUUACGUCUCGCACUGGGAUCCGGAGGGACUCUUGCCGUAAAACCCCCCAAUUUUCCAAAGGUUGACCUCG
rnacentral:rRNA from 1 species